UACGGAGGGUGCAAACGUUGCUCGGAAUUAUUGGGCGUAAAGCGCACGUAGGCGGACUGUUAAGUCGGAUGUGAAAGCCCUCGGCUUAACUGAGGAAGUGCAUUCGAAACUAGCAGUCUUGAGUAUGGAAGAGGGUCGCGGAAUUCCAGGUGUAGAGGUGAAAUUCGUAGAUAUCGGGAGGAACACCAGUGGCGAAGGCGGCGACCUGGGCCAAUACUGACGCUGAGGUGCGAAAGCGUGGGGAGCAAACAGG
rnacentral:rRNA from 1 species